UUUAUUUUUUCGAUACGAACGGAACUACCCAUAGCAAAGAUAAUGGCGGUACGUGUAUAUCUUGUCCUGGUUUUUAUUCUUCACACGACGCAUGGAGAACAGACACAGACCGGAAUCUGUAAAGAUGUUUUACAAGGUUACCUGACAGGGAAACUUUCGUAUCAGGUAGAGACCUUAAAACAGGAAUUCAAAAGCUUCAAAGACGUCAUCAACGUCAUUGAGGAAUCGAUGAAAAAGUUCAAGGACGCAGUUAAUGCUAGCAUACAGGAAGGAGGUACUGGAAAAAGAGACAUUAUAUAUACAAGAUGGGGAAAGAAAACGUGUCCUUCAAACGCAAAAUUAGUCUAUUCAGG